rnacentral:misc_RNA from 1 species
AAGUCGUAACAAGGUUUCCGUAGGUGAACCUGCGGAAGGAUCAUUAACACAAUUUUACUGUGAUAAAUCCGUUGAAUUCUCGAAUUCAAUGGUGUCCACCCCAUUAUUGACGAACUUUUCUAGAUGUUAAAACAUAGAGCUAGUCUUUAUGUUUUUAACAUUCUAAACCUUUUUCUAUAUCCACACAAAUUUAAACCCCUUUUACAACAUGUAUUAGACUGAAAUGAAAAUUUUCUAUCAAAAAAUUGAUAAAACAACUUUUAACAACGGAUAUCUUGGCUCUC